rnacentral:ribozyme from 1 species
UGCCCAGCAACUCCUAUCCCUACCUCCUCGGGGUACCGGUCGGAAACUAUUCACGAGCAACCUUAGGGAAGA